GCCAAAUGAUGUGUGUUUGAUAUAGGAGCACUGUGUGCAAGGACGACCCUCAUCUAUCACCCAUGACUGAUGGCU
ensembl:snoRNA Snord83 Small nucleolar RNA SNORD83